AAUUGAACAUCAAUAAACUUCUCUCCUACUCAAACUAUAUAAUCAAAACCCUAAAACCCAAAUACCUUGUUAAGUUGCAAGAGCCUGUGAGUGUUAAGGUCAGAACAUGGAUUCCUGGAGAUUUAUGGAUCCUCGGAAGAAAACACUCGUCAUUACUUGUCUAGUGUUAUGUGUUGGAGCAACCUACGAUCACUACAGAAGGAAGUACAAUGAGAAGGGCCCCACUGACGAAGACUUGGCUAUUUUAAAAGAACAUUUGAGGGCGCAGAAGAAGCCUUCGGAAUGAAUAUGAAGAAAAUCCAUCAUGAACAGAGCCAAAUUUAGUUUAAAUUUGAUAAAAUCAGAUUGGGGAGAUGCACCAUGAUUUAUUCAUAAGGGCAGCAAGUAUAUUUUCUUUGUUUCACUCUUGAUUUGAAAAGAGGAAGAUCAUUUUGGGGAAGGUAACACAUAAAUUGAUAGGUCUGCCUUCAAUAUUCAUUUUAUUACUCGAUAAUGAUGCCUCAUCACUUAGGUU